UAGCAUAUCAAUAAGCGGAGGAAAAGAAACCAACAGGGAUUGCCUCAGUAACGGCGAGUGAAGCGGCAACAGCUCAAAUUUGAAAUCUGGCCCUCUCAGGGUCCGAGUUGUAAUUUGGAGAAGAUGCUUCGGGUGUGGCCCCGGUCUAAGUUCCUUGGAACAGGACGUCACAGAGGGUGAGAAUCCCGUACGUGACCGGUGGCCGCCCCCGUGUGAAGCUCUUUCGACGAGUCGAGUUGUUUGGGAAUGCAGCUCAAAAUGGGUGGUAAAUUUCAUCUAAAGCUAAAUAUUGGCCAGAGACCGAUAGCGCACAAGUAGAGUGAUCGAAAGAUGAAAAGCACUUUGGAAAGAGAGUUAAACAGUACGUGAAAUUGUUGAAAGGGAAGCGCUUGCAACCAGACUUGCGCGCGGCCGAUCAUCCGGUGUUCGCACCGGUGCACUCGGUCGUGCUCAGGCCAGCAUCGGUUUGGGUGGUUGGAUAAAGGCCUCGGGAAUGUGGCUCUCUUCGGGGAGUGUUAUAGCCCGAGGUGCAAUGCAGCCCACCCGGACCGAGGACCGCGCUUCGGCUAGGAUGCUGGCGUAAUGGUUGUAAGCGACCCGUCUUGAAACACGGACCAAGGAGUCUAACAUCUAUGCGAGUGUUUGGGUGUCAAACCCAUACGCGUAAUGAAAGUGAACGGAGGUGAGAACCCUUAAGGGUGCAUCAUCGACCGAUCCUGAUGUCUUCGGAUGGAUUUGAGUAAGAGCAUAGCUGUUGGGACCCGAAAGAUGGUGAACUAUGCCUGAAUAGGGUGAAGCCAGAGGAAACUCUGGUGGAGGCUCGCAGCGGUUCUGACGUGCAAAUCGAUCGUCAAAUUUGGGCAUAGGGGCGAAAGACUAAUCGAACCAUCUAGUAGCUGGUUCCUGCCGAA
rnacentral:rRNA from 1 species